UUUUUUUAGGUUUAACGGUGUUAGUGUCGCAUUACCGCCACCUACAGGAGUCAGACAACCGCUACAGCACUGAGUCUCAAACUGUGGUACGUGGACCACUGAUGUGAGUCUGUCCCAGCAUGCACCGGGCAAGCUCCAGACCUGUUUUCUGUUAUUAGUGAGGCUUUGGAAUGAAGGGAAUGUUAAUGAACCUCUCUGACGUGCGUCAUGCCGAUAUCACUGUGAUGAUGUCAUGCCUCGCUCCACUGGCCAACCGUUUAAAGAUGAUCGAGGAGGCACUUCAUUUCCCAGUUUUCCCCUCCUUCGUCUCACUUCAACAUCUGACAACUAGUUUGACAUCUACAUCUGGUAGACCUCUCGGCGGAGUCUUAAGACAUGGAGAUAUAUUGGUUUGUUCCCGAAGCUCUAGGAUGAGUUAUGGAUCGGGUUCAUGGAGGGGACUCCUCUGAGGAGACUAGAUGUGUUAAGGAGGACGAGGUCCAGAGGAAUGAAAAAGGGUUCUCCAGAUGUUGGGUUUGCAAAAUGUGAACGAGAUUGUCUGUGGUCUCAUCAGCACUUGAUAUUAAACCUUCAACUGUAGAUCGAGUUGUGACCUGUUGGUCCAGGAGAUCAUUCCUAACAAUUAAUAAAGACCAAAACAACUUAUAUGAAGAUUUAUCUGUUCCUACUGGAGUGAAUUUGGCCUCAUAGGUUCUGUAAGAAAUUCAGUGAUAAUAUGGUGUGAAAAGCAACACAGCACAUAAUGUAGCUAACAUUAGAUGUGCUGUGGGUUGCUGCUGUGAAGGGAACAUGCAGCCAGCACACGAGCUCCAGACAGCCAGUACUCAUAAAUCUUCUUCUACUACAGAUUACAACAUCAAAGCAUGGCUUGGCAAACUAGAAAGUGAGCUCAAUGUCCAGGGGCGAGUAAUUUAA